AGUAAAAAUAACCCCAUUACACGCCUGAGGAGGAUGUGAAGAAGAAAGGAAAUUCAUCAAAAGGAAGAAGAGAAAAAGAAAAAAAAUUAAGAGAGAGGAGAAAAAAACCCCAAAAAACAAACCAAAACGAAGAGAAAGAAAAAGAGAGGCGGAAAAAAUGGGGGAAAAGACAACUUUCAGAGACUGGAAUUAAAACCUGAGCCCGAGGUCCGUCCUGCCACAGCCACGGGGACUCUCCUGGACUCAGGCUGGACGUGGGCUCACCAUACAUGAUGCUCAUUUUCUGGCUGACAGGUCCUUGGCCCUGGUGAGAGCUCACUGGGAAUAUCCUGCUCAGGUUGGCUCAUUAUUCCAUGAACCAGGAGUGGGGGUUAUGUGGGAAAAAUCCCCCUCCAAAAUGAGGAGCUGCCUUGAGGGACCCUCAGCGCUUCAGCCCCCUCCUGGCAGACCCUGGAGCACGAUGUGGGUCCUGAUUUCCAGCAGAGGCCCCCAGGACAUCCCCUCCUGCUGCACCCAGGGGGAACAAGCCCAUGCCACCCACAAUUCCUGGCUGAGGCCUCCUGACUCCAAACCAGCAUUCCUGGGGCAUUCCUGGUGUCAUGGUGAAGAGCAUAAGGCUGGAAGAAUAGGAAAAAUAAAAUAAAAAAAAAAAAAAAAAAAAAAAAAAAAAGAAGAAAGAAAAAGAGUCUCCAACCCCAGGAAAUCUGUGUUAAUUGCUUAUGAAUGUCUCUGUCUAAAAAAUUAUCGAAUUGAUGUUGUCGUGCUUUUUUUUGACAGCCUGUCUGUUACAUUUUUUUAAAAUAUUCAUGCACUGAAAUCUAAUUACUAGGCAAAUUUAAUGAUAAUGAAAUGAAGGCACUUUAGCAGAAAGCAUAGGGCCUUGUUAAUGUUUUCUCAGCCUCUGUCUUGUUCAUAUUUUUAAAAUUCUUUCCUUGCAUUUUUUUUUCCUUGCCUAUUAAAAAAAAAAAAAAAAAAAGAUUGCUGAAAAUAAAACUCAGAUUGCUGAUAAUGUUUGUGGUGGCUCUGUUUGUAAUGAUGGGGAAUUUGCAAGGUGAUUAAAGGUGUUUUGCAAAAAUCAAAUGAGCCUAACCUAAUCAGAUAAGGCAGAUGAAAUAUUAUUAUUAGGGGGAAAAAGCCUGGAGGCUUUAACAAAGAUGAAGCAUCUCAUGCACUGUGCCAACAACAGCCUUGCCAUCCUCUGGACCCCUCCAGCCCCUUC